UACGUAGGGGGCAAGCGUUGUCCGGAUUAUUGGGCGUAAAGAGCGUGUAGGCGGCCUGAAAGGUCAGCUGUGAAAACUCGAGGCUCAACCUCGAGACGUCGAUGGAAACCAUCUGGCUAGAGUCCGGAAGAGGAGAGUGGAAUUCCUGGUGUAGCGGUGAAAUGCGCAGAUAUCAGGAAGAACACCCGUGGCGAAGGCGGCUCUCUGGUACGUGACUGACGCUGAGACGCGAAAGCGUGGGGAGCGAACAGG
rnacentral:rRNA from 1 species